ACAGUGGACGCGAGCAUCUGUGGCCAAGUUUUUAAGGGCGCACGGUGGAUGCCUUGGCACCAGGAACCGAUGAAGGACGUGGGAGGCCACGAUAGGCCCCGGGGAGUCGUCAACCAGGCUUUGAUCCGGGGGUGUCCGAAUGGGGAAACCCGGCAGUCGUCAUGGGCUGUCACCCGCUGCUGAACACAUAGGCAGUGUGGAGGGAACGCGGGGAAGUGAAACAUCUCAGUACCCGCAGGAAGAGAAAACAACCGUGAUUCCGGGAGUAGUGGCGAGCGAAACCGGAUGAGGCCAAACCGUAUACGUGUGAGACCCGGCAGGGGUUGCGUGUGCGGGGUUGUGGGAUCUCUCUUCCACGGUCUGCCGGCCGUGGGACGAGUCAGAAACCGUUGAUGUAGGCGAAGGACAUGCGAAAGGUCCGGCGUAGAGGGUAAGACCCCCGUAGUCGAAACGUCAGCGGCUCGUUUGAGAGACACCCAAGUAGCACGGGGCCCGAGAAAUCCCGUGUGAAUCUGGCGGGACCACCCGCUAAGCCUAAAUAUUCCCUGGUGACCGAUAGCGGAUAGUACCGUGAGGGAAUGGUGAAAAGUACCGCGGGAGCGGAGUGAAAUAGUACCUGAAACCGUGUGCCUACAAGCCGUGGGAGCGUCGGGCAUCAAGCUUGCUUGGUGUCUCGUGACUGCGUGCCUUUUGAAGAAUGAGCCUGCGAGUUUGCGGUGUGUUGCGAGGUUAACCCGGGUGGGGAAGCCGUAGCGAAAGCGAGUCCGAACAGGGCGAUUUUAGUAGCACGCUCAAGACCCGAAGCGGAGUGAUCUAGCCAUGGGCAGGUUGAAGCGGCUGUAAGAGGUCGUGGAGGACCGAACCCACCAGGGUUGAAAACCUGGGGGAUGACCUGUGGUUAGGGGUGAAAGGCCAAUCAAACUCCGUGAUAGCUGGUUCUCCCCGAAAUGCAUUUAGGUGCAGCGUCGUGUGUUUCUUGCCGGAGGUAGAGCACUGGAUAGGCGAUGGGCCCUACCGGGUUACUGACCUUAGCCAAACUCCGAAUGCCGGUAAGUGAGAGCGCGGCAGUGAGACUGUGGGGGAUAAGCUCCAUGGUCGAGAGGGAAACAGCCCAGAGCAUCGACUAAGGCCCCUAAGCGUACGCUAAGUGGGAAAGGAUGUGGAGUCGCACAGACAACCAGGAGGUUGGCUUAGAAGCAGCCACCCUUGAAAGAGUGCGUAAUAGCUCACUGGUCUAGUGAUUCCGCGCCGACAAUGUAGCGGGGCUCAAGCGUACCGCCGAAGUCGUGUCAUUGCAGCAAUACGGCCAACGCCGGCUGUGAUGGGUAGGGGAGCGUCGUGUGCCGGGUGAAGCAGCCGCGGAAGCGAGUUGUGGACGGUUCACGAGUGAGAAUGCAGGCAUGAGUAGCGAUACAAACGUGAGAAACGUUUGCGCCGAUUGACUAAGGGUUCCUGGGUCAAGCUGAUCUGCCCAGGGUAAGUCGGGACCUAAGGCGAGGCCGACAGGCGUAGUCGAUGGAUAACCGGUUGAUAUUCCGGUACCCGCUGUGAAGCGUCAAACAUCGAGCAUCGUGAUGCUAAGGCCGUGAAGCCGCCCUGAUCUCUUCGGAGUUGAGGGGAGUGGUGGAGCCGCCGAACCAAGCGGUUAGUAGGUGAGUGAUGGGGUGACGCAGGAAGGUAGUCCAUCCCGGGCGGUGGUUGUCCCGGGGUAAGGGUGUAGGACGUCAGGUAGGUAAAUCCGCCUGGCAAUAGUCUGAGACCUGAUGCCGAGCCGAUUGUGGUGAAGUGGAUGAUCCUAUGCUGUCGAGAAAAGCCUCUAGCGAGUUUCAUGGCGGCCCGUACCCUAAACCGACUCAGGUGGUCAGGUAGAGAAUACCGAGGCGUUCGGGUGAACUAUGGUUAAGGAACUCGGCAAAAUGCCCCCGUAACUUCGGGAGAAGGGGGGCCACACCUGGUGACGAGUUUUACACUCCGAGCUGGGGGUGGCCGCAGAGACCAGCGAGAAGCGACUGUUUACUAAAAACACAGGUCCGUGCGAAGCCGUAAGGCGAUGUAUACGGACUGACGCCUGCCCGGUGCUGGAACGUUAAGGGGACCGGUUAGUCACAUUUCGGUGUGGCGAAGCUGAGAACUUAAGCGCCAGUAAACGGCGGUGGUAACUAUAACCAUCCUAAGGUAGCGAAAUUCCUUGUCGGGUAAGUUCCGACCUGCACGAAUGGCGUAACGACUUCUCGACUGUCUCAACCAUAGGCCCGGUGAAAUUGCACUACGAGUAAAGAUGCUCGUUUCGCGCAGCAGGACGGAAAGACCCCGGGACCUUUACUACAGUUUGAUAUUGGUGUUCGGUUCGGCUUGUGUAGGAUAGCUGGGAGACUUUGAAACUCGCACGCCAGUGUGGGUGGAGUCGUCGUUGAAAUACCAGUCUGGUCGUGCUGGAUGUCUAACCUGGGUCCGUGAUCCGGAUCAGGGACAGUGUCUGAUGGGUAGUUUAACUGGGGCGGUUGCCUCCUAAAGAGUAACGGAGGCGCCCAAAGGUUCCCUCAGCCUGGUUGGCAAUCAGGUGUUGAGUGUAAGUGCACAAGGGAGCUUGACUGUGAGACCGACGGGUCGAGCAGGGACGAAAGUCGGGACUAGUGAUCCGGCGGUGGCUUGUGGAAGCGCCGUCGCUCAACGGAUAAAAGGUACCCCGGGGAUAACAGGCUGAUCUUCCCCAAGAGUCCAUAUCGACGGGAUGGUUUGGCACCUCGAUGUCGGCUCGUCGCAUCCUGGGGCUGGAGUCGGUCCCAAGGGUUGGGCUGUUCGCCCAUUAAAGCGGUACGCGAGCUGGGUUUAGAACGUCGUGAGACAGUUCGGUCCCUAUCCGCUGUGCGCGUAGGAGUCUUGAGAAGGGCUGUCCCUAGUACGAGAGGACCGGGACGGACGAACCUCUGGUGUGCCAGUUGUUCUGCCAAGGGCAUGGCUGGUUGGCUACGUUCGGGAGGGAUAACCGCUGAAAGCAUCUAAGCGGGAAGCCUGCUUCGAGAUGAGGACUCCCACCCCCUUGAGGGGUUAAGGCUCCCAGUAGACGACUGGGUUGAUAGGCCGGAUCUGGAAGCACCGUGAGGUGUGGAGGUGACCGGUACUAAUAGGCCGAGGGCUUGUCCUCAGUUG
rnacentral:rRNA from 1 species